AUGGAAGCAUUACCUCACAUGUAAUUCAUCAAGGUUGCUGUUACACUCUGGGCCAUUUGGUCCUCUAGGAGGAAAAUUCAUGAAGGAAUUUUUCAAAGCCCUCAAACAACACAUAUGUUCAUUGACAGAUAUAUUAGAGAUCUAGAGAUUCUAAAGGAACCGAGGUCGUCGCCGAGUAUAAGCGCUGCAGCGGUGCCCAGGGGCAACAUACGACAGAAGGCGCCACCGGCAGGAUACGCAAAAAUCCAUGUUGACGCCGGGCUAUCAGCAAGGGGAGGCGUCGCAGCCGCAGUUUGUCGAGAUGACCAUGGCAACUAUAUGAGUAGCUCGGCACUAGUUGUAUGGGGACUCCAUGUCCCGGCGACUUUGGAAGCUAUUGCAUAUAGGGAGGGAACAACAUUGGCUGAAGAUCUGCUUGUUCAAAAUUUUAUCUUGGCAUCUGAUGCUAAGCAGGUGGUGAUGGAUAUGCACAAUUCUAAUCCUGGGCGGUAUGGCACUAUUGUUUCAGAGAUACUUCAUAGAGCUACCAUGUUUACUUGUAAUUUUGUUUUUGAAACUCGAGACUCGAAUAGCGAAGCUCAUAGUAUAGCCAAGUUUGCUCGUUCAUUAGGUCAGGGGUGCCACUUGUGGCUUGGCCAACCCCAUGAUCCGAGAUGUAUUCCACUUUCUGUGGCUUAUGAAUGA
rnacentral:rRNA from 1 species